AACGCGAAGAACCUUACCUGGGUUUGACAUGGAUCGGGAGUGCUCAGAGAUGGGUGUGCCUCUUUUGGGGUAGGUUCACAGGUGGUGCAUGGCUGUCGUCAGCUCGUGUCGUGAGAUGUUGGGUUAAGUCCCGCAACGAGCGCAACCCUUGUUCACUGUAGCCAGCACGUUAUGGUGGGGACUCAGUGGAGACCGCCGGGGUCAACUCGGAGGAAGGUGGGGAUGACGUCAAGUCAUCAUGCCCCUUAUGUCCAGGGCUUCACGCAUGCUACAAUGGCUGGUACAGAGAGUGGCGAGCCUGUGAGGGUGAGCGAAUCUCGGAAAGCCAGUCUCAGUUCGGAUUGGGGUCUGCAACUCGACCUCAUGAAGUCGGAGUCGCUAGUAAUCGCAGA
rnacentral:rRNA from 1 species